rnacentral:rRNA from 1 species
UACAGAGGGUGCGAGCGUUAAUCGGAAUUACUGGGCGUAAAGCGCGCGUAGGCGGUUUUGUAAGUCGGGUGUGAAAUCCCCAAGCUUAACUUGGGAACUGCAUUCGAGACUGCAUAGCUAGAGUAUGGGAGAGGGAAGUGGAAUUUCAGGUGUAGCGGUGAAAUGCGUAGAUAUCUGAAGGAACAUCAGUGGCGAAAGCGACUUCCUGGACCAAUACUGACACUGAAAAGCGAAAGCCAGGGGAGCAAACGGG